rnacentral:rRNA from 1 species
AAAGCAUAGAUAACGAACAGGAUGAAGUACCCUGGUAGUACAUUUCCGUAAACGAUGAAUUAAUAGUUGUUGGAGGGUUUCCGCCCUUCAGUGCCGGAGCUAACGCAUUAAGCAAUCCGCCUGGGGGAGUACGACCGCAAGGGUUGAAACUCAAAGGAAUUGACGGGGGCCCGCACAAGCGGUGGAGCAUGUGGUUUAAUUCGAAGCUACGCGAAGAACCUUACCAGGUCUUGACAUCUUGCGCCAACCUCAGAGAUGAGGCGUUCCCUUCGGGGACGCAAUGACAGGUGGUGCAUGGUCGUCGUCAGCUCGUGUCGUGAGAUGUUGGGUUAAGUCCCGCAACGAGCGCAACCCUUGUUACUAGUUGCCAGCAUUCAGUUGGGCACUCUAGUGAGACUGCCGGUGACAAACCGGAGGAAGGUGGGGACGACGUCAGAUCAUCAUGCCCCUUAUGACCUGGGCUACACACGUGCUACAAUGGACGGUACAACGAGCAGCGAACUCGCAAGGGCCAGCUAAUCUCUUAAAACCGUUCUCAGUUCGGACUGCAGUCUGCAACUCGACUGCACGAAGUCGGAAUCGCUAGUAAUCGCGGAUCAGCAUGCCGCGGUGAAUACGUUCCCGGGCCUUGUACACACCGCCCGUCACACCAUGGGAGUUUGCAAUGCCCAAAGCCGGUGGCCUAACCUUCGGGAAGGAGCCGUCUAAGGCAGGGCAGAUGACUGGGGUGAAGUCGUAACAAGAGCGAGGAUACGAUAA